CCUACGGGAGGCAGCAGUGGGGAAUAUUGGGCAAUGGGCGCAAGCCUGACCCAGCAACGCCGCGUGAAGGAAGAAGGCUUUCGGGUUGUAAACUUCUUUUGUCAGGGAAGAGUAGAAGACGGUACCUGACGAAUAAGCCACGGCUAACUACGUGCCAGCAGCCGCGGUAAUACGUAGGUGGCAAGCGUUGUCCGGAUUUACUGGGUGUAAAGGGCGUGUAGCCGGGUUGACAAGUCAGAUGUGAAAUCCUGCGGCUUAACCGCAGAACUGCAUUUGAAACGGUUGAUCGUGAGUACUGGAGAGGCAGGUGGAAUGCCGGGUGUAGCGGUGAAAUGCGGAGAUAUAAGGAAGAAAACGAGUGGAGAAGGCGGAGGACUGGACGGCAACUGACGGGGAGGAGCGAAAGCGUGGGGAGAAAACAGGAUUAGAUACCCCAGUAGUC
rnacentral:rRNA from 1 species